ensembl:snoRNA
AUCGAUGAUGAAAACCUGGAAUAGGAAGUGCCGUCAGAUGCGACAACUGACGAUUGUCUCUAAUCCACCUGUCUGAGU